CAACAGGGAUUGCCCUAGUAACGGCGAAGUGAAGCGGCAACAGCUCAAAUUUGAAAUCUGGCUCUCGGGCCCGAGUUGUAAUUUGUAGAGGAUGCUUUUGAUGCGGUGCCUUCCGAGUUCCCUGGAACGGGACGCCAUAGAGGGUGAGAGCCCCGUCUGGUUGGAUGCCAAAUCUCUGUAAAGCUCCUUCAACGAGUCGAGUAGUUUGGGAAUGCUGCUCUAAAUGGGAGGUAUAUGUCUUCUAAAGCUAAAUACCGGCCAGAGACCGAUAGCGCACAAGUAGAGUGAUCGAAAGAUGAAAAGCACUUUGAAAAGAGAGUUAAAAAGUACGUGAAAUUGUUGAAAGGGAAGCGUUUAUGACCAGACUUGGGCUUGUUUAAUCAUCCGGGCUUCUGCCCGGUGCACUUGUUCAGCCCAGGCCAGCAUCAUUUUUCGCCGGGGGAUAAAGGCGGCGGGAAUGUGGCUCUCUUCGGGGAGUGUUAUAGCCCAUCGUGUAAUACCCUGGCGGGGAAUGAGGUUCGCGCAUCUGCAAGGAUGCUGGCGUAAUGGUCAUCAACGACCCGUCUUGAAACACGGACCAAGGAGUCGUCUUCGUAUGCGAGUGUUCGGGUGUCAAACCCCUACGCGUAAUGAAAGUGAACGCAGGUGAGAGCUUCGGCGCAUCAUCGACCGAUCCUGAUGUUCUCGGAUGGAUUUGAGUAAGAGCAUACGGGGCCGGACCCGAAAGAAGGUGAACUAUGCCUGGUAUAGGGUGAAGCCAGAGGAAACUCUGGUGGAGCUCGCAGCGGUUCUGACGUGCAAAUCGAUCGUCAAAUAUGGGCAUGGGGGCGAAAGACUAAUCGA
rnacentral:rRNA from 2 species